GUGCGCUAACGCGCUGAGCUGCUGAACUUGCAGACCGAAAGGUCCCAGGUUCAAAUCCCGUGAGCGGCCGCUGUUAGCUCCAGCUCCUGCCAACCUAGCAGUUCAAAAGCAUGCCAAUGCCAUAUCAUGCGAUGUGCGGGACUUGAUGAAUCCAAGGCUGGAGUUAAAAUUGCUGGAAGAAAUGUUAACAAACCUAGAUACUCAGAUGAUACCAGUUUGAUGGCUGAAAGCGAGGAGGAGCUGAGGAGCCUUACCACCAAAGUGAAAGAAGAAAGUGCAAAAGUUGGGUUGCUGGAGCUAUAAGCAAGACCACUCCUAAGCCUAAAGUGAAAUGUUUCUCACAAAAUCCAAAUGCGUUUCCUGCCUGUGCAGAGUUUCGGGGGCAAUGGACCUGAAGAAGGCUUCAUGAGACCUGGUAUCGUAAAAUAUUGUCUGGUGUUUUCCUGAAAAGUGACCAUCAUCUCUACCACCUUUGAAACCACGGCCAGUGUUUGGUCCGGUCUACAGGUUCAAGGAAAAUACUGAGAUUUUUGAAACCAGAGGUGAAUGGAAAAAUAAAGGGGCCAAAGGGCAGCGUUGGAGGCUAGUCUUCACCAAAGUGGGGCUUAGGCAGUUGUUGAGUGCAAUUCUCCCAGGGUGAGCUCAGACUAAUGCAGGGAAAGCUCCUGGGCUUAACCAAUGGCACCAAGGCUCAAAUCAGAGUCUUUACAUCUACAUGUGUUUUUAAUUUCCUAAUUAUUCUCAGUGACAAUUGAAUUACUUGUCUUCUCACUGGGCAGGAACAUUCUUUUUCUGGAAGAUCAUGGAGUGGGAAGAGGCAAGUCAAAUGGAAAUGAGGUGGAACAAAUUUGGGAUGAGAAGGCAAGUUUUUUUCUUUCAGCACAAAUCAUAUUAAUUAAAAGUAGAGUAUACCCACUUGUGUAGAUUGUUGCCAAGUGACCUUUGUCAUUGUUUUGGCAUCUCCGUGUGGAAACAUCCAGUGCUCAACUUCUUAGUUUUCACUGCCAGCAUCCAAGCAAAAUGCAUACACUUUGUAGGGGUUUUUUUCACAUUAAAGAUUUAUUGAAGCAACAAUAACUUGAAAUUACAAAACAGAAUAUAUAACUCAGUUCAACUACAUUAUAUGAGUCUACAAUGACAAUAUAAUUCAGUUUCAAACAGCAUAAUAGGGCAGUGUAGAUGGUGCCGCAGUCGAAUGGCAUCCCUUAUAUAAAAUAACUAGCUUUGCCCGGCCACGCGUUGCUGUGGCUUAUGGGAAUCCUUUGUUGGCCAGGUGGAAUAGCAGUGAAUAGCCUUGCAGUCUCAAAGCCUGGCCGUUUUCUGGAGUUGCUGGAGCUGUUUGUUGUAUGAACGUAGAGGCAUGGAUGAGGGGUUGUGCUGCCAAGUUUAGUGUUUCUGGGAUGUGUAGUUUUGUUGUUUUGUCCUAGGCCGAAAUUUCAUUACCCUUUUAUAUAUAUAGAUAACACCAAGAUUUUGUUUUUAGAAUGGGCAAUGGGAUAUAUUUUUAAGCCAGAGAUGAUUGAAUCUGUGGAUAUACGAUCUAUGGAUAUGGAAGGUAAAGGUUUUCCCCUGAUGUUGAGUCUAAUCAUGUCCGACUCUGGAAAUUGGUGCUCAUCUCCAUUUCUAAGCAGAAGAGCCGACUGCAAACUAUGUUGAAUUGGUUAAAACUCUAGGGCAUACUCAUUAAAAAUCUAUAGCAAAAUGUGCUGCAGGAUGUCCUGCAAAAACAAAAUUUAAUAAAGUUUUCCAUGUUUUCAUGAUAGAACCAGUUAGAAAAUGAUAUUUAUAGCCCAGGAACAAAAACCUUGUUACUUAAUAAAAGAGAAAGAAAUGCUAGAAUGAAUUAUUGUUUGUUCGGGGGUUUUUUUUCCAUGUUGGCAAGAAGCUCACCAAACUUGUACAUGUAAGGUUAACAAUAUCAUAAUACAUUUCCAGAAUGUU